ACGAACGCUGGCGGCGUGCUUAACACAUGCAAGUCGAACGGAAAGGCCCUGCUUGCAGGGUACUCGAGUGGCGAACGGGUGAGUAACACGUGGGUGAUCUGCCCUGCACUUCGUGAUAAGCCUGGGAAACUGGGUCUAAUACCGGAUAGGAGCCAUUUUUAGUGUGAUGGUUGGAAAGUUUUUUCGGUGUAGGAUGAGCUCGCGGCCUAUCAGCUUGUUGGUGGGGUAAUGGCCUACCAAGGCGGCGACGGGUAGCCGGCCUGAGAGGGUGGACGGCCACAUUGGGACUGAGAUACGGCCCAGACUCCUACGGGAGGCAGCAGUGGGGAAUAUUGCACAAUGGGCGCAAGCCUGAUGCAGCGACGCCGCGUGGGGGAUGACGGCCUUCGGGUUGUAAACUCCUUUCGCUAGGGACGAAGCUUUUUGUGACGGUACCUAGAUAAGAAGCACCGGCUAACUACGUG
rnacentral:rRNA from 1 species